rnacentral:ribozyme from 2 species
UUUUUUUUUUUUUUUUUUUUUUUUUUUUUUUUU